rnacentral:rRNA from 1 species
UAAUACGUAGGGUGCUAGCGUUGUUCGGAAUCAUUGGGCGUAAAGCGCGUGUAGGUUGCUAUGUAAGUCGAAUGUGAAAUCCCUGGGCUCAACCGAGGAAGUGCAUUCGAAACUACAUAGCUCGAGAACGGUAGAGGAAGGUGGAAUUCCAAGUGUAGAGGUGAAAUUCGUAGAUAUUUGGAGGAAUACCGGUGGCGAAGGCGGCCUUCUGGGCCGGUUCUGACACUGAGACGCGAAAGCGUGGGUAGCAAACAGG